GCCCGCAUGGCUCAGUGGUAGAGCGCAUCACUAAGUAAUGAUGAGGUCGUCAGGUUCGAUUCUGGCUGUGGGCA
rfam:Sordaria macrospora k-hell, WGS project CABT02000000 data, contig: 2.4